GGAGAGUUCGAUGAUUGAUAAUUAGGGUUUGCAAAUGAGAUUUAAACAUACAAACAAGCAUCUUCAUAGUAAAUUUAAACUAGAGAGAUGCAAUAGAGAGUGGAUUAGGACAGAAACAAAUGGGAACUUACAGAGGUUGAAUUCAGCUCUCCGAUAGCAUUCAGUUCGUGGGUGCUCUUUGAAACAUAUUUGGCCAUUUUCUGGGCUUAUUUUGAAAACAAAUUCAUAUUUAUACAAUGUUUUUAAUAUUAAAUUAAAUUUAACUUUUGUUUUUUGAAAGCAUUGGAUUUAACUUUUUUAUUUAUAAAAUUAAGUCUGAGAUGUUUCCAGAAGAUAUGUUCAUCUCUUCAAACAUCAAAGUCUUAUUUUCCAAAAUAAGUGAUUUAUUAAUGAAAAUAGGAUAAGUCAAUCCAGCCUCUCCAAGGCCAUUCCCCAUUUCCAUCAUCUAAAAUAUUGUAAAAUAAUAAAUUCCUAAAACAUAUCAAAUUGAAUUUACUUUUCUUGUAUUGUUUCGUUGUAUUUUAAUAAAAUAAUAUUUAAUUAAUAUUUUCAUUUUUUGAAUUACCAUACAAGAAAAACUAUAUUCAAUCCACAAAAGUAAUAUAUAUUUUUGUAUUUUAUAUUUUUAUUAAUUAAUUUGGCUUAAAAAUUUCUUGUAAUUAUUUAUAAUUUUUUAUCAGUGUUAUUAUGUUUCACACCACUCUUAUUAUUCUUAUUUGAUCAUAAUUUUAUAAAAAUAUUUGAUCAUAAUUUUAAAUAUUUUAUUUAAAAUUAUGAUCAAAUAUGCUCUUAAUCGUCAUGGAUAUCCAGAAUCAUUUGUAUCGAUAAAAAAUUAGUUUCUUUUCAUUUCAAAACAUCUUUCUCCUCUUUUUUCAUUUUCCUCCAAUAAUAAUUUUAAUAUAUUAUUAUUGUAAUAACAAAGCACCAUAAUGAGGCAUAUUUUUAGAAUUGAUAUAUUAAGAUGAUGUCGUAAAUCACGAUGACACAAAUUUUUAGUAUAUUUAUAAGACGCUUGCAACAUCUCUGGCGGGGUUGGUUAUAGUCGUCGACUAAAUUGGACCCGAAAGACGUUAUGUAAAUUUGCUGAAUUUGUAAGACAUUGUACUUCAAUGAUAUUGACGAUAUUGAUUGGUUAUAAUUUAAAAAUAAAUAUGUUAUUAAUAUUUUAGAUUGUUAAAAUAGAAUAUCUCAGUUCAAUAUGAUAAUAAAUGCUAUGUAAUUUUCUUACAGAUUUCUUAUAGGCAGAGGUUUGACAAAUAUAGUCAUCCAUAAGAGGUUACCUAAAAUUACAGGCAAUAGAUAGGGAUGGUUGAAGUGUGAUUUUUUUUCAAGAAGUUAGCUAUAUUUUUUAAUUUUAAUAGAUCAAUUCACCUUUUAGCUAAGAUUUUUUUAUGAUUGGAGAUGCUCUUACUCAAACAUGUUGUACUUGUUAUUAAAGUAUCAUCGACAUUGUUAGAACACUCAUUUACUUCAAAUAUGUUAAAUUUUAAUUUAGAAUAUUAAUUUAGGUCAGCCAGAAACAAAGAGAGUAUUUCAGAAUAGGAGACCAUCAAAUUUUGCAAGUUACCUGCUUUUCCUGUCAGCUUCUUUAAUUCGGUACUACAAUAUACUGGUACGCGAUGACAGGGUCAGCUACAUGUGUUUGGAUGGACAAUAGUCAAUAGGUUCAUCAAGUCAAGUCAACCAAACUACUACUGUUAUUAAGCACGGGGUCAUGAUAAUAAUUGGAGUGAAUGAACCUUACAGGUAGGUUCUUUGGCCGGCAUUUAACAAGUUGCCUUGUACAAAAUUUAGUUAAAAAUUGAACAUCUUUUUAUUUAAUAAUUGACAAAUUGAACACUUGUGAAUAGUGAUGAUCAAAACUAAAUCAGAACUGAGAAACUAAACUCAACCCGACCGUGCUAAUUCGGUUUUAUGCGGUCCUAAUUUUCUAAAAUUUCGGUCUGUUCAAUCCGGUCCGGACCGCAUAGAUCGAAAUUAAAUUCGUAAAAUAAAUAUUUUGGUACGGUUCGAAUAGUUUAAAUAAUAUUUAAUAUUAAUUUAUAUUUAUAAUAUAUCUUAUAUAUAUAUAUCUUAAUUCUUAUAAGUCAUAAUUAUAAUAUUUCGAGAGGAGGAAGCAUAUAUUUUCCAAAAAAGUUAGAAUAAAUAAUACCUCAAUAGUUAAGUAAUCCUUUUCAAAUUACGUGAACAACUCUCAAUAACGUUAAAUACUUCAAGAACAAAUUUUCUGCAACAAGUUGGGUUUAGCCUUUAAAGUUUAAACUAUUGAAAAUGGACUAAUUAUCGAAUUAAUUAUUUACGACUAGUAGUACUCAAAACAACGUUUCACUGACUUUCGGGGGUACAUACAUUCUGAUCAUUUGAUCAGAUACGAGAUCAACUAUAUUCGGCAUUUCAUAAAAUCAAUUUAAGCAUGGUUUACAAACAUCUCCCAGCAGGAAGCUCUGUUUUCAUUAAAUCUCUGAUACUGCUGAGUACGAUCCACUUUGCUGCAACUUUAAAUUUUAGCUAUAAUAGCUUCACUCCUGAUGAUCCUGAAAUAGAACAUGAUGGAGAUGCCUUCACAUCCAGCGGAGACAUCCACAUCACUAAAAGCUUAAAUGGACAAUCAGCUCUUUCAAGCGUUGGACGAGUUACUUAUAAAGAGCCAUUGCAUCUAUGGGACAAGGCCUCAGGAAACCUUACUGACUUCACUACCCGUUUUACUUUCGUGAUUGAUUCCAUAAAUGAAACAUGGUAUGGUGAUGGGAUAGCGUUCUUUCUAGUUCCAAAUGGUAAUGAGCUCCCACUAAAUGCAACAGGUGGUGGAGUAUUUGGACUCACAAAUGAUAGUCAGCCUACCAACAUCACCGCCAAUAAAUUUGUCGCGGUCGAAUUUGAUGUUUUUGGGAACGCCUGGGACCCUAUCGAAAGUGUAGAUGUCAAUGAGGGAACUGAGCACGUAGGUGUUGAUAUCAACUCUGUGAGAUCUGAGAAAACUGUGCCUUGGGUUAAUGCGAGCUCUAGUAUUACAAAUGGGUGGACAAAUGAAGCUCAGAUAAGUUAUGCUUCUAGUUCAAAAAUUCUUAGUGUUUCAUUCCGUACAGGUAUAAAUGGCAAAGAUUUGCAUCAAAGCUUCAACUUUGUGGUUGACCUAAGAGACCAUUUGCCAGAUUGGGUCAGUGUUGGCUUUUCAGCUUCAACAGGAUCCACAUUUUCUUACAAUAGAAUCAGGUCAUGGGAAUUCAAUUCUAGUCUGGAGUCUGGUGAAGAUAAAGCAGCUCAAACUCAUCCUGCAGCAGACGUUCCAAGUCAAACUGAUCCGACAGCAGAGGGUCUAAUACCCUCUAAAUCAAAGAAUAAUAAGAUGGGUCUAGUGGUUGGAUUGGCGGUAGGGGGGUUUCUUCUUGUUUGUGCUGCGGGCAUAUAUGUUAUCUUGAAGAAGAAGAAGAAGAAGAAGAAGAAAGAGAGAGAAGAAAAUCAAAAUCCAAUUUGUGUUGAGGAUGAUUUCAUGGAUGAUGAAUUUGAGAAAGGAACUGGACCUAAAAAGUUCUCGUAUAAUGCUCUUGCUGUGGCAACAAGUAACUUUGCACAAAAUGAGAAACUUGGAGAAGGAGGUUUUGGGGAAGUUUACAAAGGCUACUUGAGAGAACUGGAUUUUAAUGUGGCUGUCAAGAGAGUAUCAAGAAAUUCUAGACAAGGAAUAAAGGAGUAUGCAUCCGAAGUGAGGAUCAUUAGUCGUCUCAGACAUAAAAAUUUGGUGCAGCUCAUUGGUUGGUGCCAUGAACGGAAUAGUCUUUUACUUGUGUAUGAGUAUAUGCAAAAUGGCAGCCUGGAUUCCCAUCUUUUCAAGGGGAAGAGCUUGCUGUCUUGGAGUACAAGGUAUAAAAUUGCUCAAGGCCUGGCGUCAGUAUUGCUUUAUCUACACGAAGAGUGGAAGGAAUGUGUGGUGCAUAGAGAUAUUAAAUCUAGCAAUGUCAUGUUAGAUUCAAGUUUUAACACUAAGCUUGGUGAUUUCGGAUUGGCCAGAUUUGUCGAUUAUAAUAGGGGUGCACAAACAACUAUGGUGGCCGGGACACGGGGCUACAUGGCCCCGGAAUAUAUUUCCACAGGCCAAGCUAGCAGGAUGUCAGAUGUUUUUAGCUUCGGAGUUGUAGCAUUGGAAAUAGCAUGUGGUCGAAAACCUAUUGACGUCAAGCUAGAAGAGAAUGAGAGAGAAUUAGUAAAGUGGGUUUGGGAGCUUUAUGGAAGGGAACAAAUUCUUGAAGCAGCUGACCCAAAACUCUCCGGGGAUUACGAUGAGUAUCAAAUGCAACAGUUGAUGAUUGUCGGGCUCUGGUGUGCACAUCCAGAUUGGACAAUCAGGCCUUCCAUUAAUCAAGUGAUCCAAAUUCUUAAUUUCAAUGCUCCAUUGCCUGCUCUGCCAACCAAGAUGCCUGUGGCAACCUAUUCCAUGCCGUCAAACUUGUCUUCUUUGUCUUUAGAAUACGUCACUGCCCAGAGAAACCAAACUCAAUCUUCAGGCUAUAGUAACGAUACUGAUUCUUCACUUUCUGCAUCUGCAGCACGUCUAAAUAAUGCUAGAUAAGUGUGUCAGUUUAUAUGCAAAUCAAUAUAUAUUAUGUGUGAUAUGAUCCAAGUUUGGAUAUAGUAUUUGUAAUUUGAUCCGUGAGUGAUUGUAAUUCAUUCAGUGAUGGCUUGAUAUUUCCCAGUUUGCAAUUUCUCUCUAUUCGAUAUUUAGUAUCUACAAUAUUGCAUCUGAUUAGUUGAAACUGUCAUUCGUUAGUUUAGGAUACAACCAAGACAAUUUCAUUAGUUAGAACCGGGGAAUAGUCCUCUUCUUUAAGCUUUCACUAAGAACUGCUAGCUUACUCUACAACCUAGACAAUUUUGUCCACUGUAAUUUUUUCAGAAAGAACUCCAUCUUCCUAUUAAUUGUCCUCUCGUGAUCAGCAGUAUGUAUCAAUAUGGAUUCAAGCAUAAGUAUUCAUCAAAUCUAACAGCCCUUUGCACGCCUCCAUCGCCUCAGGAACUUCAUCCGUAUAUUAGGUCAAAAAAUCUUUACAAUUUUUUUCCUCUGCAAUCACCAAUAUUCUAUAUAACAUAUAAACAAAACAUGCAGAACCGAACACCAUGGGAUAGUCCUCUAUUCAAGCUAUAGUCAAGAACAUCUGAGCAAUUAGACAACCUAAAGAGCUACAAGAACUUGGCAUACUCGACAUACAAGAUAGAUUAGACUGUCUUAAACAAAAACUACAUCAUCCCAUUAAUUAUCUUCCUGGCAUUUCUGCUGAGUCAGUGAUAUGACUGAUGCCCAAUUAAUAAUUGAUGGCUAGAAAUUUAACAGCACCCUUCUGUUUGAAAGUGUAUUCAUCAAAUUUCAGCUUCCCUUGGUAUGCCUCCAUUACCUCGGGUAGUUCAUCCUUAUAUACACUUACAAAGUCUCUGACAAAUUUUCUCUCAUCUAUCGACAAAAUUGUUGAUAGAUUGUAACUCUUACUAGUGCUGCUUAUUGAGACUAAAACUUGCAGAACUGAACACCUUGGGAUAGUCCUCUUCUCUAAGCUAUAGCAUAGAACUUUUGGGUUACAUGACAACCUAGAUGGUGUCCACUGUAAUUUCUUCAGAAAGAACUCCACCUUUUUAUUAAUAUGAUUCUCCUUAUAACACAUAAUCAGUGGUGCUUUCUUGAACACUUCAAGGACCUCAUCAUUAGAGAAACCAAAGCUUCUAAGCAACAAACAUCUAGAUUCCCAUGUGGAGUCAUUGUGAAAAGACAAUGCAUGGAGAGCAUGGAUGAAAUGUGAAGAUGAAUAAUCAAAGUUCAUGCCCUCGACCAUCAAAAAGACUUGACAGAAUCUGUCAUGUGGAUAGCACAAAAUUCGGGAAUAAUGGCUUACAAACUUGAAAAUUUGAGAAAUGGGAAUUCCUUGUCUAAGGAGAAACCGAAUAUUAGGCAACAUUGCGGCGGUGUUGGUAAAAAUAAAAGGACCGCAUUUAAGGAGAGCAACUGCAUUUGGGCCGCAACCAAUAAUAUCCUUAAGCUGAUCAAAAGUGGGUAUUAAAUGUUUGUUGAGACUUCUAGCGAGUAUUCGCGGGUCUCUGGUGACAGUACGGACCACCAUUGCAUGAGACAUAUCCAUAGAAAGCAAAAAAUCGAGCUUUGGCUUUAAGAGCUUUUCGGGUUUUAAGGACUGAAGAAUACAGGGUACAACAGAAACGAUUCUGGUAAUAUUAGGCUGGGGGAAUCCAAAGUUUCGGAAUAGCUCGAGAACCGAAUCGGGUCUGUGAUCAGAAGAAUCAAAAUGAACACAUUUAGAAGCACGAAUUAGGUGUUUUCCAGAUAAGCCACAUUUGUUCUUGAGAAAGGAAAUCUUGAAUUCUGAAGAAUCUAUGGUUCUUUUGGGGCUAUAGCUACGAAAGAUGGGUCGAAUUAAACAGUGAUUCAAAUUGGGGAGAGUUUGAUGUUUGAUAAUUAGGGUUUGCAAAUGAGAUUUGAACAUACAAACAAGCAUCUUCAUAGUAAAUAUAAACUAAAGAGAUGCAAUAGAGAGUGGAUUAGGACACAAACAAAUGGGAACUUACAGAGGUUGGAUUCAGCUCUCCGAUAGCAUUAGUUCGUGAAUCGUGAUUGUAUUUGUGGGUGCUGUUUGAACGGGGCAUAUUU
rnacentral:lncRNA from 1 species